rnacentral:rRNA from 1 species
GGAGUUAGCCGGUGCUUCUUCUGUGAGUGAUGUCCUUCCUGCCGGUUAUUGACCCGCAGGCCUUCUUCCUCACUGAAAGUGCUUUACAACCCGAAGGCCUUCUUCACACACGCGGCAUGGCUGGAUCAGGGUUGCCCCCAUUGUCCAAUAUUCCCCACUGCUGCCUCCCGUAGGAGUCUGGGCCGUGUCUCAGUCCCAGUGUGGCUGAUCAUCCUCUCAGACCCAGCUACGGAUCGUCGCCUUGGUGAGCCGUUACCUCACCAACCAGCUAAUCCGACAUAGGCUCAUCCGAUAGCGCGAGGCCCGAAGGUCCCCCGCUUUCCCCCGUAGGGCGUAUGCGGUAUUAGCCUGGGUUUCCCCAGGGUUAUCCCCCACUACCGGGCAGAUUCCUAUGCAUUACUCACCCGUCCGCCGCUCGCCACCAGGGAGCAAGCUCCCCGUGCUGCCGCUCGACUUGCAUGUGUAGCUCGCCGCCACGCGUCAUCUGAGCAGAUACAACUACUGA